rnacentral:rRNA from 2 species
GGAUGAACGCCGGCGGUGUGCCUAAUACAUGCAAGUCGUACGCACUGGCCCAACUGAUUGAUGGUGCUUGCACCUGAUUGACGAUGGAUCACCAGUGAGUGGCGGACGGGUGAGUAACACGUAGGUAACCUGCCCCGGAGCGGGGGAUAACAUUUGGAAACAGAUGCUAAUACCGCAUAACAACAAAAGCCACAUGGCUUUUGUUUGAAAGAUGGCUUUGGCUAUCACUCUGGGAUGGACCUGCGGUGCAUUAGCUAGUUGGUAAGGUAACGGCUUACCAAGGCGAUGAUGCAUAGCCGAGUUGAGAGACUGAUCGGCCACAAUGGAACUGAGACACGGUCCAUACUCCUACGGGAGGCAGCAGUAGGGAAUCUUCCACAAUGGGCGCAAGCCUGAUGGAGCAACACCGCGUGAGUGAAGAAGGGUUUCGGCUCGUAAAGCUCUGUUGUUGGAGAAGAACGUGCGUGAGAGUAACUGUUCACGCAGUGACGGUAUCCAACCAGAAAGUCACGGCUAACUACGUGCCAGCAGCCGCGGUAAUACGUAGGUGGCAAGCGUUAUCCGGAUUUAUUGGGCGUAAAGCGAGCGCAGGCGGUUGCUUAGGUCUGAUGUGAAAGCCUUCGGCUUAACCGAAGAAGUGCAUCGGAAACCGGGCGACUUGAGUGCAGAAGAGGACAGUGGAACUCCAUGUGUAGCGGUGGAAUGCGUAGAUAUAUGGAAGAACACCAGUGGCGAAGGCGGCUGUCUGGUCUGCAACUGACGCUGAGGCUCGAAAGCAUGGGUAGCGAACAGGAUUAGAUACCCUGGUAGUCCAUGCCGUAAACGAUGAGUGCUAGGUGUUGGAGGGUUUCCGCCCUUCAGUGCCGGAGCUAACGCAUUAAGCACUCCGCCUGGGGAGUACGACCGCAAGGUUGAAACUCAAAGGAAUUGACGGGGGCCCGCACAAGCGGUGGAGCAUGUGGUUUAAUUCGAAGCUACGCGAAGAACCUUACCAGGUCUUGACAUCUUGCGCUAACCUUAGAGAUAAGGCGUUCCCUUCGGGGACGCAAUGACAGGUGGUGCAUGGUCGUCGUCAGCUCGUGUCGUGAGAUGUUGGGUUAAGUCCCGCAACGAGCGCAACCCUUGUUACUAGUUGCCAGCAUUAAGUUGGGCACUCUAGUGAGACUGCCGGUGACAAACCGGAGGAAGGUGGGGACGACGUCAGAUCAUCAUGCCCCUUAUGACCUGGGCUACACACGUGCUACAAUGGACGGUACAACGAGUCGCAANCUCGCGAGAGUAAGCUAAUCUCUUAAAGCCGUUCUCAGUUCGGACUGUAGGCUGCAACUCGCCUACACGAAGUCGGAAUCGCUAGUAAUCGCGGAUCAGCAUGCGCGGG